GACGAACGCUGGCGGCGUGCUUAACACAUGCAAGUCGAACGGAAAGGCCCUGCUUUUGUGGGGUGCUCGAGUGGCGAACGGGUGAGUAACACGUGAGUAACCUGCCCUUGACUUUGGGAUAACUUCAGGAAACUGGGGCUAAUACCGGAUAGGAGCUCCUGCUGCAUGGUGGGGGUUGGAAAGUUUCGGCGGUUGGGGAUGGACUCGCGGCUUAUCAGCUUGUUGGGGGGGUAGUGGCUUACCAAGGCUUUGACGGGUAGCCGGCCUGAGAGGGUGACCGGGCACAUUGGGCCUGCGAUACGGCCCAGACUCCUACGGGAGGCAGCAGUGGAGAAUAUUGCACAAUGGGCGGAAGCCUGAUGCAGCAACGCCGCAUGCGGGAUGACGGCCUUCGGGUUGUAAACCGCUUUCGCCUGUGACGAAGCGUGAGUGACGGUAAUGGGUAAAGAAGCACCGGCUAACUACGUG
rnacentral:rRNA from 1 species